CCUCCCCUCCCCCGGAGCGGCGCUGGGCUCAGCCCGAGACCGUGAGGGGAAAAGCGGGGCCGUGCGGCGGCCGGGCCCAUCGCCGCGCCCGCUGCCCCGCCAGCCGCCGAGAGGCCGCGGGAGUAAACCGGCCCCUGCCAGCGGGGCUCCGCCGCUGCUCCCCCCCCCCCCCCAGCCCCGGGCCUCCUCCCGCAGCCCGGCGGCGCCUCCUCGCCUCCAGAUAGCGGGACCGGGCUGCCCGCGCCCGGCGGCGGGAGGAAAAUGGCCCAAGCUACUGCACCAGUAACAUCCAUCCAUGAUGAAGACUCCUCUGAAAGCAGAAUGGUGGUUACAUUCCUCAUGUCAGCACUUGAGUCAAUGUGUAAAGAACUUGCCAAGUCCAAGGCAGAAGUUGCCUGUGUUGCUGUAUAUGAAACAGAUGUGUUUGUAGUUGGAACUGAGAGAGGAAGAGCCUUUGUCAAUUCUAGGAAAGAUUUUCAGAAGGAUUUUGUUAAAUACUGUGUUACAGAAGAGGAGAGGGCUGCAGAACUGCAGAAAACAAAAAGUAUACCACCUGUAAACAGACUGACAGUGGAUAUUGUGGAACUGGAAGCUCUCAGAAAGUCUGUGGAGGACUUUUUCUGCUUUUGCUAUGGUAAAGCUUUAGGAAAGUCAACAGUGGUGCCUGUGCCAUAUGAGAAGAUUCAGAGGGACCAGUCUGCUGUGGUAGUGCAGGGCCUGCCCGAAGGACUUGCAUUUAAACAUCCAGCAAAUUACGAUGUUUCAACCCUGAAGUGGAUUUUGGAAAACAAGUCAGGGAUCUCAUUUACCAUCAAAAGGCCUUUCCUAGAGCCAAAGAAACACCUAGGGGCUCAUAUGACAGAUCCUUCACAUUCAAUUAUACCUCCAGGUGGAAGUUGUCCUCCUAUUCAAGUGAAAACGGAACCGAACGAGGAUUCUGGAGUUGCUUUGGAAAUGGCAACAGUAACAGUGAAGGAGGAAUCAGAUGAUCCUGACUAUUAUCAAUAUAAUAUUCCAGCAGGCCCUUCCGAAACAUCAGAGAUGGAUGAAAAAAUUGCUCUUGCAAAAAGUUACACAGCUGUGUGUGAGGUGAAUGGCUAUAUACAGAACAAAGUAUAUGAUUCUUCCCAGCAUGCCCCUUCAGAAACAAGUGAGGAUCCUGAGGUCGAGGUCACCAUCGAAGAUGAUGACGACUACUUGCCCCCUAACAAGAGACCGAAGAAUACCGAGUCAGCUAAUGAAGCUGCCAAUACUGGGAGAAGAAAAGUGAGAGAGUUCAAUUUUGAGAAAUGGAAUGCACGAAUUACAGACUUGAGAAAGCAAGUUGAAGAGCUGUUUGAAAAAAAAUACGCUCAAGCUAUAAAAGCAAAAGGUCCAGUGUCUAUCCCAUACCCACUCUUCCAGUCACAUGUGGAAGACUUAUAUGUGGAAGGGCUGCCAGAAGGAAUUCCCUUCAGGCGGCCAUCCACAUAUGGCAUUCCCCGUCUUGAGAGGAUACUUCUAGCAAAGGAGCGGAUCCGGUUUGUGAUUAAAAAGCAUGAGCUUUUGAAUUCAACAAGAGAAGAUGUGCCACUGGACAAACCAGUUGCAGGAGUGAAAGAGGAGUGGUAUGCCAGAAUCACCAAACUGAGGAAGAUGGUAGAUCAACUCUUCUGUAAAAAGUUUGCUGAGGCCUUGGGGAGCACUGAACCAAAAGCUGUUCCAUACCAGAAAUUUGAGGCCCAUCCUACUGACCUCUAUGUUGAAGGGCUGCCAGAGAACAUCCCUUUUAGGAGUCCCUCCUGGUACGGAAUCCCUCGCCUUGAAAAAAUAAUUCAAGUGGGCAACAGAAUAAAAUUUGUGAUCAGAAGGCCAGAGCUGCUAACUCUCACUUCAACCGAAGUUAUUCAGCCCAGGUCGAACACCCCAGUGAAAGAAGAUUGGAAUGUCAGGAUCACAAAGCUAAGAAAGCAAGUAGAAGAGAUAUUUAAUAUGAAGUUUGCCCAAGCUCUGGGGCUUUCAGAGGCAGUGAAAGUUCCGUAUCCUGUAUUUGAAUCAAACCCUGAGUACCUGUACGUUGAAGGCUUGCCAGAAGGAAUCCCCUUCCGGAGUCCCACGUGGUUUGGAAUUCCACGCCUUGAAAGAAUUGUCCGUGGAAGUGGCAAAAUCAAAUUUGUUGUUAAAAAGCCUGAGCUUGUCACUUCCUAUUUGCCUCCAGCACUGGCUAGUAAAAUAAACACUAAAGCAAUGAGUCCAAAGAGUUCAAAAAGGUCACGAAGUCCUGCAGGCAAUUCAAAGGUCCCAGAAAUUGAAGUUACUGUUGAAGAAGGUCCUAAUAAACCACAAACAACAGAUGUUCGAACUAAUUCUCAAACCAAUGGGUCCAAUAUGAGUUUCAAGCCACGAGGAAGAGAGUUUUCUUUUGAGGCGUGGAAUGCCAAAAUUACUGACUUAAAGCAGAAAGUCGAAAAUCUUUUUAAUGAAAAAUGUGGGGAAGCGCUAGGGCUGACUGAACCAGUGAAGGUGCCAUUUGCAUUGUUUGAAUCCUUCCCGGAGGUGUUCUAUGUGGAAGGACUACCCGAGGGGGUGCCAUUCCGCCGACCUUCUACUUUUGGAAUUCCAAGACUAGAGAAGAUCCUGAGAAACAAAUCUAAGAUAAAAUUCAUUAUUAAAAAGCCUGAGAUGUUUGAAGCAGCUGUUAAGGAAAAUUCUGCUAGAAGCCCCCAAAGAAAAAAUAAUUCAUCUAAUAUAGCCAAUACAGCAAGCACCACAACAAACACACUGGUGAACACAGCUGCAGGUGUUGAAGAUCUUAACAUCAUUCAAGUAACUAUACCUGAUGAUGAAAGUGAGCGACUGUCAAAAGUAGAAAAGGCCAGACAAUUGAGAGAGCAAGUAAAUGAUCUUUUUAGCCGGAAAUUUGGUGAAGCCAUUGGUAUGAAUUUUCCUGUGAAAGUCCCAUACAGAAAAAUCACUAUCAACCCUGGCUGCGUGGUGGUGGAUGGGAUGCCUCCUGGCGUGGCAUUUAAAGCUCCCAGUUAUCUGGAAAUCAGCUCGAUGAGGAAGAUUUUGGAAUCAGCAGAGUUUAUCAAAUUUACUGUCAUUCGACCAUUUCCAGGACUUGUGAUUAACAAUCUUUCAGGAUUUGCAGAUUCAAGAAGUAAGAUUGCCCUUGUGUUACAUGUGGACCAUUUUCAUUGUGAAGUUAAACAGUGAUCAUGUCUAAUCUUAGAGCUGAUGGAAAAAGCUGAAGCAGAAGCACCACCAACAGCACCAGCAGCAGCACCAGUACUACCAGCUGAACCAAGCAAAAUAGAAGUAUCUGUAGGAGAUAUUACAGAAAAAGAAGAAAAUUCUCAAAUAAAGCAAGAACCAGACCCAACGUGGUAGACCUCUUCAAUACUGGUCAGAAGCAUCCAGUUCUGAGAAGAGCCUGCUGGGACUGUCUUGAGCUGUGUAAUAUAACUGUAUAAGAGAAGUACCUUCUAUACAAACCCUUUUUGUACUUUUAGAUAGAAAUGUCUACUUUUUCAGCAGUUCUGUGAAUUGACUUAAAGCAAAGAAUGACUGUAGAUUUGGAAUGGCUGGUUUUACUUUGGAAUAUAUUAUAAGGACUAAAAUUUGAUGCAGCAAUGCUGGGGAGAUGACAGGGAUUAAAAUCAACAGGGACUUAACAGAGGCUGUCUACAUUUCCCAAUGAAGCUGAAUUUCACCGUACCUGAAUACAUCUCAGCUUUUGUAAUGAAGAAGAAUUCCUGCAAGUAGUUCAGUUUGUUAGUUUUACUUUGGGGGAGAAAAAAAAACAAAAACAUUGCUUUUUGGUUCUUACUCCUUUAAUGGCUGAUUGGACAAUAGUAUCUGUAUAUUUGAACUAAUUUUUCCUAUGAUAUCUAUCACAAUUCAUACGUUUUUCAUAAAUAAAAGAUGAACUGGUUCACUUGACCGUUAGUACGCAUUAAUGAGAUGGACUGUGAAAUGGUCAGUAUUUCAGUGUGUGGAUUAGGAACCAAUUUAAAUUAAACCCUGUUAUAGUUUGUUCCAUUAAUUCAAAGUAGUAAGUGCAUGCUUUAUCAGAAUAUCACAUGGUUUAUGUAUGAUGGGUCUGGCCUUGCAGUCCUAACGUAGGCAAAACUUGCAUGGACCUGAGUGAGAGCUUUUCUCCUGAAGGCUGUGGGGGAUGCCCUUCUGUUCAUCUAGAACUAGUUAUGGAAACAUACGCUACAAGCUGCUGUAAGUCCUACUAUGUCAAAAGUUAAGUCCCCUAUAGUCCUGGUUACGCCCCACAUCAUGUAAGAGACUCGUGCACAUUUUUUUUAAGUUUCACAAACCAUAAGAGAUGUAAAGUUCUGGGUAUAUGAUAAUCUCUAUAGAGAAGAUGCAGAUUAUUGUAAAGGUUUCUCUUUUAUUGGCAUGGGUUUGGGAUGACUGCAUUAUGCACAAAUGGUAAACCUUAUUCCCUGAUUAAGAAAUAAAGACCUUCUGAUGGUUUUCAUGACU